GGCGCACGGGUGCGUAACACGUAUGCAACCUACCUUAUACUGGGGAAUAACUUCGAGAAAUCGGCGCUAAUACCCCAUAACAUUGCGAAGAGGCAUCUCUUUGCACUUAAAGCUCCGGCGGUAUAAGAUGGGCAUGCGUCCAAUUAGCUAGUUGGUGAGGUAAUGGCUCACCAAGGCUACGAUUGGUAGGGGUUCUGAGAGGAUGAUCCCCCACACUGGUACUGAGACACGGACCAGACUCCUACGGGAGGCAGCAGUGAGGAAUAUUGCGCAAUGGACGAAAGUCUGACGCAGCCAUGCCGCGUGCAGGAUGACGGCCCUUGGGUUGUAAACUGCUUUUGUAUGGGAAUAAACCCUUCUACGUGUAGAAGGCUGAAGGUACCAUAAGAAUAAGCACCGGCUAACUCCGUGCCAGCAGCCGCGGUAAUACGGAGGGUGCAAGCGUUGUCCGGAUUUAUUGGGUUUAAAGGGUGCGUAGGCGGCUGAAUAAGUCAGCGGUGAAAGACUUCGGCUUAACCGGAGCAGUGCCGUUGAUACUGUUUAGCUUGAGUGUUGGAGGGGUACAUGGAAUUGAUGGUGUAGCGGUGAAAUGCAUAGAUACCAUCAGGAACACCGAUAGCGAAGGCAUUGUACUGGCCAACAACUGACGCUGAGGCACGAAAGUGUGGGGAUCGAACAGGAUUAGAUACCCUGGUAGUCCACACCGUAAACGAUGAUUACUCGCUGCUAUGGUGUAUGCUGUAGCGGCCAAGCGAAAGCGUUAAGUAAUCCACCUGGGGAGUACGCCGCAACGGUGAAACUCAAAGAUUGACAGGGUCCGCACAAG
rnacentral:rRNA from 1 species